rnacentral:rRNA from 1 species
UACGGAGGGGGCUAGCGUUGUUCGGAAUUACUGGGCGUAAAGCGCACGUAGGCGGAUCAGUAAGUUAGAGGUGAAAGCCCAGGGCUCAACCCUGGAACUGCCUUUGAUACUGCUGGUCUGGAGGUCGAGAGAGGUGAGUGGAAUUCCGAGUGUAGAGGUGAAAUUCGUAGAUAUUCGGAGGAACACCAGAGGCGAAGGCGGCUCACUGGCUCGAUACUGACGCUGAGGUGCGAAAGCGUGGGGAGCAAACAGG